rnacentral:rRNA from 1 species
AUGUGCAUUCCAAAAAUGAGUAAAGGUAUGGGGUUUAGAGAUAUAUAUUGCCUCAACCUUGCUCUGCUUGCUAAACGAGCGUGGCAAUUAAUCGAGAACUUAGAUUCUCUUUGUGCUAUGGUGCUACAAGAAAGAUACUACCCUUCUGGACCUUUGAAUGCGGAGGCGAAAAAGGUAGCUUCUAUACAUGGCAGAACAUAUGCUACGGGAUCAAAACAGUCAAGAAAAAAUGGACAUAUGUGGCGUGUCAUGGUAAUAGUAUAG